rnacentral:rRNA from 1 species
UACGUAGGGUGCAAGCAUUAAUCGGAAUUAUUGGGCGUAUAGGGCGCGUAGGCGGAUCUAUAAGUCGGCUGUGAAAUCCUAGGGCUCAACCUUAGAAUAGCACCCGAAACUAUAGAACUAGAGGAUAGGCGGAGAAAACGGAAUUCCACAAGUAGCGGUGAAAUGCGUAGAUAUGUGGAAGAACAUCGGUGGCGAAGGCGGUUUUCUAGCUUAUUCCUGACGCUGAGGCGCGAAAGCAAGGGGAUCAAACAGG